UGUCUGUAAAACAGGAAUGACACGUUAGCAGUCAAGACAGAAAUUGAUCUUUUGGGCUGUUUUUGGUUUUAAUAUCUAGGCUUCCUUUCUCCUUUCAGAGCAAUUAUUUGCUUCUUCCUAAAUUGGGCAGCUUGGCAGCAAGUAAAGUAAGCUGUUUCUCUUUUCUUAGAACAGGUGCUUCCACACUUGCCCUGGCCUCUGAGGCCCUGGGACGGUUGCACGGUGCAAGCACUGCUCCCAGAGUCACUCUGCUGAGUUCCUGCUGCCGAGGCUGAGUCACAGAGCUCUGAGUGGCCUGUUCUACAACGAGUACAUGUCAGUUUGGACUCACAUCUCCAGUACUUAACAGUCCUAUGUGGCUAGAAGCUAUCCUAUUGGACAGCAGACCUAGAAUAUUCUCCCAUCUACUCAGCUCUUCCUCAGACUUCUGACAGCAGCAGUUCGAGUGUAACACCUUAUGGAAAUCUUUUGCAAGCCACUCCCCCAGACUAGACCUGGUUUUCACUCAACAUUCUUUCAUAACUCCUUGUACGUCUUUCUCAAAGUGCAUACUGUGUGGCUGUUUGAUAAACACGUUUUCCCGGCCUGACGCUAAAUCCCAGCUGGUAGAGACUCCACCUGCUCUGUUCCCGUCGACUUUCCAGGGCUUGAUACAGUGUUUGGCCCAUGGCAAUAAACCUCUCUGAAUAAAUGCACUAAAUGGCUUCUUUCACUUUA